rnacentral:sRNA from 1 species
GGACGUGAGCUGUCUGGCUGUGAUUUCUGCCAUCCUGCUGAUAGCCAGGGUUCAUUUGCUGACCUGGCUGGCUGGGCAUCUCCUUCCUUACCAGCUCCGUGUGCGUGUGCGUGUGCGUGCCAUUCCCUAAGUUGCACACUCAGUGUAAGAGGAUCUGCCACAGAGGAGCACCCCUCUUCAGACAAGGGUGUACAGCAGCCGGGCUCCCCCAUAGGAUUCGAAACGAGCACUCAAAUAGGUGUACUGCUCAGGAUCUGUCAUCUGUAUCUC